CCAGCAGACCCUCCCUCCCAGACCCUCCUACUUCCUGGACAUGGAUGCUGUCCAGGAAGUAGGAGGGUCUGGGAGGGAGGGUCUGCUGGAGAU